CAAAUAAUUCCAAACGAAUAACCAACCGCCGCUAUUUAAUCUUUAUGGUAUUUAUACAUUGACUGCAUUGUGCUAUCAACAUUGUUGCUGAAUUGUUUGGUACAUUUGGUUAUUAUAGAUAGGUCUUGAAUUUCCGUAAAUUAGUUCAAUUAUGUGUGCUUGCUGUGAUUCUACCAAGACGAAAGACAUGGGGAAAAACGCCAAAAAAGGUGUAAAGGGUGUAGGGAAAGGAAUGGGCGCGGCUGAAGAUGCAGGUGGUGUUGCUGAAGGUGUAGCCCAAUUAUCUGGGGCAGGAGAUAUUUCUGAUGUUGCUGGACAAGUUGGAGAUGCGGCUGAUAUGGGAGGCGAUGCGGCUGAUAUUGCUGAAGCAGGAGUGGGAUGUUUUAAUUUUUUCUCAAAGAAGAAGAAAAGUUCAAAGGUAGAUCAUAGUGACGCGAAAACUGACGACAAGGCUGAAAAGAAAGAGUCCGGAAGUACAGAACCGCCAAAGUAAAACUAAAGAACCGCCAAAGUAAACACAAGUAUAUUCAGGAAUCAUUCAGAUUACAAACAUUUUUGUGACGGAACCAAAAUUAACUUGUAGCUGCAUCCAUUUUUAUUUGUUACAUUUACAAAUAUAGUUGUAAAAAUACUAUGUUGUUUCGUUUGUAUAAUACUGUAUUUCUUACUUUUGCAGAAAAUUAUAUGUUAAUAAUAAGUUUUAUUAUCUU